rnacentral:misc_RNA from 1 species
UUGCAUUUAUCAUUGCCCAUAAAGAAUAUGCAAUCAAAUUACAAUAAAAACACACAUUGAACGCGCAUGUAUACUAAUCUGAAUACCCCUUUGUCUUCCUCAAAUUAUUUCCACUAUUUAAUUCUGACCUAAAAAAUUAUAAUAAAUUAGUCUACAUAUAUUCUUCGCAUUGGUAUAAAAUAAAACUGAAAGCAAGACGAAUUUAAUAAGCGCAUGUAGUGAAGGGAAGCAACUCUAAAUGUUUGACUACCACGCCAGGACCUGAUUUGUGCAUUGCAACUUUUCUCCCUUGUUUUAAAGACAACAACAUUUACUUUCGCGGGUACGAACAGCUGAGAGCAUAUUACACAACAGAAAACUAAGACAACUUCUUCAUAACAUCGAAGGGCUGGAGACUUAUAAUAGAGAAAUAUGCAAGUUGAUAAAACUAAACGUGUCGGCCGUUGGUAUUUCGGCGGGGUUGCUAGUGCUCUAGCAGCAUGUUGUACCCAUCCACUGGACUUGCUGAAGGUUCAUCUUCAAACACAGCAGAAAGAAAAUGUUCGGACUACAACACUUUUAGCUCGUAUUAUUAAAACUGAUGGCAUUUUGGGUUUUUAUAAUGGUCUAACAGCUUCAUUACUUCGACAGUUGACAUACUCUCUAACAAGAUUUGCUAUCUAUGAUGUUAUGAAAAAGAAUCUAGUGGAGGGCAAUCAAGUUAUGCCUUUCUAUCAGAAAGUGUUGACUGCAGGUCUUUCAGGAGCCAUUGGUGGUGUUGUGGGGACACCUGCUGAUUUAGUCAAUGUCAGGAUGCAAAAUGAUAUAAAAUUACCUCAUGACAAACGAAGGAAUUAUAAACAUGCCAUCGAUGGUCUAUAUCGAGUGGUCCGUGAAGAAGGGCCUGCACGGAUGUUCAAUGGUGCUACCAUGGCCAGCAGCAGAGCAGUUCUUGUGACAAUUGGUCAGCUUGCUUGUUAUGACCAGAUCAAAUCAUCUCUACUGGCCACAGGUUUCUUCUCAGACAAUCUUGUCACACACUUUUCUUCCAGUAUUAUGGCAGGUACAAUUGCAACUCUUCUCACUAUGCCUCUAGAUGUCAUGAAAACAAGAAUUAUGAAUGCUCCACCUGGAACAUACAAGAACAUUCUAGCCUGUGCUAUUGAGAUUAGCAGAAAUGGUCCAUCAGGUUUUUUUAAAGGUUUCAUACCAGCCUUUGUACGACUUGGUCCACACACUGUUUUCACAUUCAUCUUCCUUGAACAAAUUCGAAUGAAUUUUGGCGAUGAUGUAUAAUACCAUUUUGACUUUUAGUGAAUAGAACUCUGUACUUAGGUUUGGUUCCGUGUUUUAGCUUCUCGUAAAAAAACUUGAAUAUAUUUGGUGGGUUUAGUAAAUAUUUGGCUCAUUACUAUAAAAAAAUUUUGUAAGAGGAAAUUUUAUUUUAUAACUGAAAUGAUAUUUAUUUUAAAUAAGUCAAAUUUAUAUCAAUUGAUUUCUACUGUUUUAUGAAGUCUACACACUGUCAACUGCUCUUAGGGAGGUAACUUGUAUUCUUUAUUACAAUCAGAGAGAGAGGUGACUUAUUUCUCUUUGCUGUUACACACUCACAAGUGUCUUAUUCCUUACAUUGCAGAUAACAUUACCAAUAACAUUUUUCACUUUUUCAUGGCUGUCAAAAGUGACUGACAUACCUUACCUUUCUAGUCAAAGAAUAUUGGACUGUUUUAUAAUUGCAGUCGCACAUGAGCAACUGUCUGUUUUUACACCAUUGUUAUUACAAUUUUGUGAUAGCAUUUUCCAUCACAAUUACAUGCAUAUGACAUGGAUUUAUUUUCCAAUGUAUACAAUCAAAUGCUUUCUAUCAUUCACAGGACAGUUUAUACAAUUUCAGUAUUGCUUGAAUGCUGGUUUUUGCUUUGCAAUCAUAUUUGCAUGAUAGUUUUUGCCCUUGCAGUCAUACUUGUAAGAAAGUCUUCAUUUCAAUCAGAGAUUCAUAUGAAGGUUAUUUGUACUAGUAUGACAACCAUUGCCUUCUUUUGCCAUUGCAUCAUAUUUGUAUAAAGGUUGUUAACACUGUAGUCAUACUUUUAUGACAGCUUUAUAGUUUGUCAUAUUUGUAUGAAGGCUUUUUCCAUUGCAUUCAUACUUGUAUGAAGGCUUCUUCCUUUGUGCUCCUACUUGUAUGAAGGCUUUUUCCAUUGCAGUCAUACUUGUAUGAAGUUUUUUGCAUUGCAGUCAUACUUGUAUGAAGACUUUUAAAAUUGCAGUCAUACUUGUAUGAAGGCAUUUUUCAAUGCAGUCAUACUUAUAUGAAGGCAUCUUCUAUAACAGUCAUACUAGUAUGAAGGCUUUUUCCAUUGCAGUCAUACUAGUAUGAAGGCUUUUUCUAUUGCAGUCAUACUAGUAUGAAGGCCUUUUCCAUUGCAGUCAUACUAGUAUGAAGGCUUUUUCCAUUGCAGUCAUACUAGUAUGAAGGCUUUUUCCAUUGCAGUCAUACUAGUAUGAAGACUCUUUCCAUUGCAGUUAUACAAGUAUAGAGGCUUUUACAAUUGCUUUCAUACUUGUAUGAAAUCUCUACUAUUGCACUUAUCUUUGUAUGAAAGCUUUAUUUCAUUGCAUUUAUGAGUAGCGCUCUGCAAUCAUGCUAAAUGCAAUAUGAAAACAUUUCCAUUGCAAUCUUAUUUGUAUGAAGACUUUUACUACCAUAAAAUCCUUAAAUGGAGGAAACCAUUGAAAUCUCUCUAGUAUGAUGUGUAUUGAUAUGGCAGCCUUAUAUAAUAUCUAUGAGGCUUAUGGAUAUGGUAGCCUUAUAUAAUGUCUAUUGA